CCACAGAUCAGCUCUUCCAGAAUCGUUUUCUUUCGAAAUAAAAUUAACUUUUGUAUAUAUAUUUGACAACUCAGGCAACUGUUUUUGGCCUGUUGUACUCAACGCUCCACGCAACUUCAGUCUGACCAGUGCUGUCAAUGAGGGUUUGUAUUUAUAGUCCAGUCACUCUUCGAUGUUAUCAAAAAUCUGCAUCUAAACUGAUUUUCGGAGGUAACACGAUUAACUCUGCAGCCGCAGUCUGGCGUACGUCAAUGAGUUGAACAGCAAGGACAUGUGUGCGCAGUGAUGGUCUGGCUCAAGGGUCUGCAAUGCAAAAGAAGCAAAUGUGUAUAUUCCAUGUACAUGUAAUGAAAAAGGGUUUUGACUUUGCAAAUCGCAAAAGAAACAAAUGCAGCUUGUUUAAGCGCAUAGUUUUUCUUGGAAAUAUCACAAAAUAUACAUACAAAAGAGAAGGUGAAAGGGCAGAGUAAAAAGGCCUUCGCAAAGUGAGCUUAAUUACUUAAAGCUUAUGCUAACGGAUUUGUAAAUAUACCUUUUGUUGUUUUGUUUUCCUAAACACCUGCUGUUUUGUUGUUU
rnacentral:misc_RNA from 1 species